UACGUAGGGACCAAGCGUUGUUCGGAUUUACUGGGCGUAAAGGGCGUGUAGGCGGCGCGGUAAGUCACUUGUGAAAUCUCUGAGCUUAACUCAGAACGGCCAAGUGAUACUGCAGUGCUAGAGUGCAGAAAGGGCAAUCGGAAUUCUUGGUGUAGCGGUGAAAUGCGUAGAUAUCAAGAGGAACACCUGAGGGGAAGGCGGGUUGCUAGGCUGACACUGACGCUGAGUGCGCGAAAGCCAGGGGAGCAAACGGG
rnacentral:rRNA from 1 species